UAGUCCCACGCCACCCACCCUGAGCCAGAUCUAGAUCGAGAUCCCCCCCACCCACCAGCGGUCUCCCGUCCCCCCUUCCUCAACCUCCUCUCCUCUGCUGUCCAUCGGAGGCCCCCGCACACAACGGAAACUGCUGCUCGGCGUCUCCAGCAGCCAAGGACGGGCUCCCGGCCUCCGCGCGGCAUCGUCUCUUCCUUCCCCGUCGCCAUCUGUCACCGUCGUCGUCCCGGUCCGGCCCUUCGCGCCGCAGGGUUUCUUAUAGAUGGCAGCUGCUUGGACGCGGACGACACACGAUCGAGUGGGGGAGAGGGAGACAGGAUGAUGGACGCCUAUACGGGUGUGGGGGAUCCCUGACAGCGGAUCGAGAGCAGCAUGAGCUGUAUUUGUAUGUCCGUCCGUGAUUGAAGUGUCUCUGUUGAAUACAUCUAAUCUGAACAAUUUCACAUUUGCUUCUCUGAUAAGUAAGGUCUGUUUUCAUUUACAGGUAGAAGAUAGCGACAGAGUGGGAAGGUUUGUGCAAAGUUCUUCUCCUCCGUCGCCGUCCGUGACAAAGCUGCUGGGUGCAUCCGUCCAUCAUCUUCAGAUCUGAGUGAAGAGGGCAUCCGUCCAUCUCAAAAGGCGAUGGCUCCACGACAUCUACAAUCAGUAUUUGCAUGUUCUUAGCAGACAAAUCUGGGAGAAUGUACUAGCUGCAUAUAUUGGUUCUUGGGUUUACUAUUAGAGCUUUUUAUCUGCAUAUAUAUAUACAUAAGAGUGAGAAUGCCCAGGUAUGCGACCCUAAAUUUAGUUUCACUGCUUUCUUACUCGUGGGAUUUAUCCAAUUAAUAACUAUAAUGGAUUAAUGAGAAAAAGACAAGGGAAAUUAGCUUUAUAAGAAUGAAACUAUUCAUGGUAAACAUUUGGCAGAAGAGAAUCACAAAAUGAACAACAGCCUCCCUCACGGGAAACAUCAGGUGUGGUAAAAUGCUCACUUAAAAAAUAGAAACUAGAGAUUACUUCCUAGUUUCCUUUUGCCUCGUUGCUACUGGUGUUGUCUGUUUAGGUAACCCUCUGCCUCAUGGUGUUCAUCUGGUUGGCACCAAUCUGCUAAGUAUACAUAAAGUGAAUUUGAGUUAUAUAAAUAUGCUAACUGUCUACAAGACAUCACUAACAUAGAACAAAAUGAUGUAGUCUAGAGUUCAACAUGACUUUGUUUUUUCUGCUCUUUUUCGUAAGCAUACCAAAGCGAAUCCAACGUCAAGCCUUUGAAAGUUUGAACCAUUGAUCUGCUCUAUGCUCCCUAUCCAUUUUCACAUCAAUUAGGUGCAUCGACAUUGACAUCUACACGGGGCUGGGGUGGCGGCGUUGACGGCAUCAACAUCGACACGGGGCUGCUGCAGCGAUGACGACGGCAUCCUCACGGUGCUGUGGCACCGACCACGACGACGAGAACAUCAUCACGGUGUUGCGGCGGCGGCGACACCGACGACAUCAACACGGGCUUGUGGAGGUGCCGACGCUGACGACCUAUACGCGUGGCGUAUAUUGUAUAUAUAUAUAUGUGUGUGUAUUAAUUAUCUAUAUCAAAUAUGUAUUAUUGACUGUAUGCAAAACAUGUACUAUUAUGUAAUGCAUGUUACGUGAGUACUAUGAAAUGUAUGUCUAAAGUGGAAUAGGUAGAUUUUUAUUUUUUUAAA